rfam:Oryza nivara chromosome 6, whole genome shotgun sequence.
UUUAAGUGUAACCAUGAGUUUCCGUGCCCAACUUUGAUCGUCCGUCUUAUUUAAAUUUUUUUUAUAAUUAGUAUUUCUGUUGUUAUGAGAUGGUAAAACGUGAAUAAUACUUUAUACGUGACUUAUGUUUUUAAUUUUUUUAAAGAAAAUUUCAAAUAAGACGGGCGAUCAAAGUUGAGCACGGAAAAGCAUGGCUGCACUUAAA